UGCAGAGGUCUCAAGCGUUGUUCGGAUUUAUUGGGCGUAAAGGGCGCGUAGGCGGCGGGGUAAGUCGGGUGUGAAAUCUCAGGGCUCAACCCUGAAACUGCACUUGAUACUGCUCUGCUUGAGGACUGGAGAGGAGACUGGAAUUCACGGUGUAGCAGUGAAAUGCGUAGAUAUCGUGAGGAAGACCAGUGGCGAAGGCGGGUCUCUGGACAGUUCCUGACGCUGAGGCGCGAAGGCCAGGGGAGCAAACGGG
rnacentral:rRNA from 1 species